CAAGACUGGAGGGCCAUCCUGUUCACAACGCAGCUCCGCCUCUGCCUGAUUCUUCUUCCUCCCCCUUCCUUCACACUCUCUGAGAAAUGUCCUCCCUGCUGAUCUCCACCUGAGAGGCAGCUUCCCCAGGAAGCCAGUCUGCAGCAGACCUCCAGGGCACAGGGCUGGGGGAGUAAGGAGGGAGAGAAGGCUGACCGACAAUCAGACUUUGGAGCCACUCACACAGAGUUCACAGCCGAAGCCCAGGAGCUGAAUGAGGCGGCAAAACCAAAGAAGCAGCUCGCAGCCCCAGAGAGGCCUCCACGUCAGUGGACCAGGAAGAGACCAGAGGCUGUGGAGGACUGGGGAGUGGUGCUCCAUGGAACGCCAUCCAGGUCAAGGACGGGACGCUCCACGAUGUGGAGGUGAAGUACUGAAUGUGCAGGAUAAGGGAGGAAUCUGCCAUGGUUGAAAGAAAGCUGGCAUUGCUGCGGCCGGAAUCCACAGUGACCCUGGGUGCAUGAGCAACCUCCCCCUUCCUUGUGACCAGGG
rnacentral:lncRNA from 1 species